GAAACAUCUAAGUACCCAGAGGAAGAGAAAGAAAAUUCGAUUCCCUAAGUAGCGGCGAGCGAAAGGGGAAGAGCCCAAACCAGGAACUUGUUCCUGGGGUUGCGGAUAGAUCAUAACGCUUUGAUUUCUUUAGUUGAAGAGAACUGGAAAGUUCCGUCGUAGAAGGUAAUAACCCUGUAGGCGAAAAGGAAAGAAAAGUAGAUCUACUCCAGAGUACCACGAGACACGUGAAACCUUGUGGGAAGCUGGGAGGACCAUCUCCCAAGGCUAAAUACUACCUAGUGACCGAUAGUGAAGCAGUACCGUGAGGGAAAGGUGAAAAGAACCCCGGAAGGGGAGUGAAAUAGAAUCUGAAACCGUGUGCCUACAAUCGGUCGGAGCACAUUAAAGUGUGACGGCGUACUUUUUGUAGAACGGGCCAGCGAGUUACGAUAUAUAGCGAGGUUAAGCACUUAUGGUGUGGAGCCGAAGGGAAACCGAGUCUGAAUAGGGCAACUAGUUGUAUAUUGUAGACCCGAAACCGGGUGACCUAUCCAUGGCCAGGAUGAAGCGGAAGUAAAAUUCCGUGGAGGUCCGAACCACGUUGGUGUUGAAAAACCAUGGGAUGAGCUGUGGAUAGCGGAGAAAUUCCAAUCGAACUCGGAGAUAGCUGGUUCUCCUCGAAAUAGCUUUAGGGCUAGCGUCGGGUAAUUGAGUAGUGGAGGUAGAGCACUGAAUGGGCUAGGGGCUGACAACAGUUACUGAACCCUAUCAAACUCCGAAUGCCAUAUACUUGUACCCCGGCAGUCAGACUACGAAUGAUAAGAUCCGUGGUCAAAAGGGAAACAGCCCAGACCAUCAGCUAAGGUCCCAAAGUGUAAGUUAAGUGGGAAAGGAUGUGGGAUUUCUAAGACAACUAGGAUGUUGGCUUAGAAGCAGCCACUCAUUUAAAGAGUGCGUAAUAGCUCACUAGUCGAGAGAUCCUGCGCCGAAGAUGUAACGGGGCUCAAACUUACCACCGAAGCUAUGGAUGUGUACUAUGUACACGUGGUAGAGGAGCUUUCUGUACAGGUUGAAGUCAUACCGUAAGGAGUGGUGGACAGUACAGAAGUGAGAAUGCUGGCAUAAGUAGCGAAAAACAAGUGAGAAUCUUGUUGACCGAAUAUCUAAGGUUUCCUGGG
rnacentral:rRNA from 1 species